UACGUAGGGGGCAAGCGUUGUCCGGAUUUAUUGGGCGUAAAGAGCGUGUAGGCGGCCAUUCAGGUCAGCUGUGAAAACUCGAGGCUCAACCUCGAGACGUCGGUUGAAACCGUUUGGCUAGAGUCCGGAAGAGGAGAGUGGAAUUCCCGGUGUAGCGGUGAAAUGCGCAGAUAUCGGGAAGAACCCCCGUGGCGAAGGCGGCUCUCUGGGACGGUACUGACGCUGAGACGCGAAAGCGUGGGGAGCAAACAGG
rnacentral:rRNA from 1 species